GACCGGUAUCACCCCACCUUGCUACUCCAAAAUUCGCGGGCAGAAUAGCUUCACCAACAGCCCCCGUUAUUAAACCCCUGUUGUUGAAGGAAUUCUUCCUCGGGCCCCCUUUAAAACGACAGAGAUUCUCACUGGCCACCAUUCUCCUCCUCACCUUCCUCCAAGCCCUAAAAAUCCCCUCAAGAACAGCCUCCAGAGUAGAGGAUAUGGUGUG
rnacentral:lncRNA from 1 species